UAAGCCCCGCCCCGCCCCACCAGUCCACCCUGACUUCCGGGUCAGAGCCCCGGGGCUUCUGCCUGGGCCCCCUCCUCUCCUCUCGGCGUCAUGAGGCCCCACUGGGGGCCAGUCACCUCCUGGUCCAAGCACGCAGCUCCCCGCCAUCUGCCCACAGUUCUCAGGCCCAGACACAUAAUCAAGUAACCAUCAAUGGAGAUGAUCACCUUCAAAAGGCAAAGUGGUUCAGAAACAGAGUUCUGUACAGGUCCAAACGGAGAUGUGCAUAUAUAUCCUGUUUCAGCUCCAUCACUUCCUCUCAAGAAUUCAGAUACACUUGAUUUCCCAAGGUUCUGAUCCACAAAACCCCUGGCUCUGAGCUCAAAGAAGCAACUGAUAACUCAAUGGUCAACCACCCCAGCAGCCACCGGGCAGGAAGGAGCCGGUGCCGACCAGGCCACAGAGCCCACGGGCUCUGCCGACAAGCUCAGUCCCAUCCCAGCCCAGUCAGACAAGGACCACGGCGCCCGUGGGCUGUGAGGAAACGCCCUCCCUCCCUCUGUGCAACCUCCUAGAACUGGAAAACUUCGA